rnacentral:rRNA from 1 species
AACGAACGCUGGCGGCAUGCCUAACACAUGCAAGUCGAACGAGACCUUCGGGGCUAGAGGCGCACGGGUGCGUAACGCGUGGGAACCUGCCCUUAGGUUCGGAAUAACUCCCCGAAAGGGGUGCUAAUACCGGAUAAUGUCUUCGGACCAAAGAUUUAUCGCCUUUGGAUGGGGCCGCGUUGGAUUAGCUAGUUGGUAGGGUAAAAGCCUACCAAGGCGACGAUCCAUAGCUGGUCUGAGAGGAUGAUCAGCCACACUGGGACUGAGACACGGCCCAGACUCCUACGGGAGGCAGCAGUGGGGAAUAUUGGACAAUGGGCGAAAGCCUGAUCCAGCAAUGCCGUGUGAGUGAUGAAGGCCUUAGGGUUGUAAAGCUCUUUUAACCGGGAUGAUAAUGACAGUACCGGGAGAAUAAGCGCCGGCUAACUCCGUG